GUGCAAACUUCAGCAACAUGUGCACUAAAACCGGGAUGAUAUAGAGAUUGAUAUGGCCUCUGCAAGGAUGACAUACAAAUUCAGAAAGUUUUCCACAUUUUU
ensembl:snRNA U6 U6 spliceosomal RNA